AUUUUCUUGUUUCGGGAGAUGGGCUUUCGUAUUAGUUGGGUUUGAUUCUACCGAGGCAAUGUUCAGGAAAUUGGGCUUCCUUUUUCUAAGUUUUGAAUAUAUCUUUGGUCACUUUCUUUGUUUGUGCAAGUAAUCUGAUUUUGCUUCGAGCACAGGGCUUCACAAGUCAAGUAACGGAUCCCAUUACUGUAGGGCUUCCCGCCCAAAUGCUCCAAUAGAGCUCUUCCCGCCUUCCAGAUACUAGUGAAAACUUGUUUUAUAGGUUGGUUGGAAUGGGGGGUUGCUCCUAUCUUGACUCGAUGCUUGGUCACUAGCAGACUUGUCCCUCCGCGGAUUCGUAGACCCACUAAAGUCAAGAUAGGUCAAAGAAAGGACUAUCUCCGGUGGAUCUUUUAACUUCAGUCUGUGGUCGUAGAGAAGGUAAAUAGCCUUAUUUCGGGGCUGGGGAGAAAGGAGAAGCGGCAGUGUCGGUAAAGCCGCAAGUCCUAAUCGUAGCACAUAGGCCGUUGAAGAAAUUCGGUAAGCCUUGGCAAGCCGCCUUGUACGGGCGGAAAGCAUUUAUCGUAUAGUAGUAAUAGUUAUACCCCUCGUUCCUACUUGAGUCGGCUAGUCCCGUCCUGGGAAGCUAAGAACCGUCAUAGCCCAAAGGUGCGAAUUCAAAAAUGUCUUCAAAGAAAGAAGACUAGGGACUCUCAAUAACGGGGAAUAAAGACUCAGAGUGGUUCUCUGUCUGUGCCCCUUUUUCCAGCCAUGUAGGUUUUCUUGAAGCACAAGCCAUUCUAAGAGCGCCAUUCAAGCGGCUAAAGACUGUUGGGAGAGUCCAGGGCGGUCCGGCGACCAUUGCCCCUUUUGGAUGUAGCUAUUUCCUUACAUAUAGAGGAAUCGAGAAGAUUCGUAUACACCCAGAAGCUCGCAAGACCCACGGCGCCUUGCUACAAUAACAAGUGGCUAGUUCGUUGGGGGAUACCCGUCUACUUCGCUUCACCAAGCAGACCCCACGUACUUUAAUUGUCCGUCUGCUACUACGAACCCGACCCAUAGGCCCAUACCUUUCUCGACCGAAGCCAUAAGUAGUAGUUUAACGCUUGAUCGAAGCGGCAGUUACCAGGCCGGGCAGAAGGACGCAAAAAGCCAAAUGUUACAGGGGCUUGGGAUGCCUCACCGUUCAGGAACAGGAUGAGGCAGAAGCACUUGCUCUGAGAAAGAGAGAAGUGUUAUAAAUAAAGAAAGCUCUUUCAAGCUCGUGUAAUAGCAGCAAAGGGCAGCCCUUAUAUUAGAGAAAAGUUUGAGAAAGGGGCACUCAUGACAGCAAGAAAAGGUGAUCCCCGAGCCUAGAAAAAGAGUUAAGAGUUCACUUGCUUCUCCACCUGCGCGUUUAUUCCCAGUUCGAUCGUGGCUCGGAGAGCUACUUGAUGGGUUAGCGUCUUCCUGUCUUUCCUGCUAUUCCAACAACGGCUUGGGUUAGCGUCUUCCUGGAUAGCUUUCUUUCACUCUUUCACGGCCCGGCCGAGCAACAAUAGGAAGUGCUUUCUUAGCAUAAAAAAC
rnacentral:lncRNA from 1 species